UCUAAAGAAGAAGAAAAAGAUUGGUAUGCUCUGAAAUUCCACAUUAACCCAUCUAUUUAGCACUAGAAUUACUUCAUAUACAACUUCAUAUACAACUGCAAAAAACAGAGUACAUUACACUUUUUACCAGCAGGUACAGUUAUUUCUAAAUAAGUAUCAGCCCAAACAGAAUGUUAAUAUUUCUUAUCUAUCGUGUUUGCUUUCUAGCAUGUUACACAACUCAUAGGUAAGACUGGCUUAAACUGUGUGGCUUGUUUUCAGCUUUCAAACCAACCAACAUUGGACAUUUGGACCUGGCACGUUGGAAUUAGAUACCGCUCUUUCUUUAAUAGUGUAAAUCAGGAGUAACUACUAAAGCCAAUGUAGUUUCAGUUGUAUAACCAGCAUGGAGGUAAAAAAAAAGACCCUUGGCUUGGACUGGUGUACUAAAUUGAGGCUGAGGUUGUGAAUUUCUCAAAUCAGGUAGGAUUCAGCUCCAGGGUUUGACUCAGGCCCCUCUCCACAGUAAAUAACCUGGAGAGGGUCCAGAGAAGGGCAACUCGUAUGGUCAAGGGCCUGAAGACCAAGCCCUACGAGGAGAGACUAGAGAAACUGGACCUUUUCAGCCUCCGCAAGAGAAGGUUGAGAGGCGACCUUGUGGCUGCCUUUAAGUUCAUCACGGGGGCACAGAAGGGAAUUGGUGAGGAUUUAUUCACCAAGGCACCCCCGGGGGUUACAAGAAACAAUGGCCACAAGCUAGCAGAGAGCAGAUUUAGAUUGGACAUUAGGAAGAACUUCUUCACAGUUCGAGUGGCCAAGUUCUGGAACGGGCUCCCAAGGGAGGUGGUGCUCUCCCCUACCCUGGGGGUCUUCAAAAGGAGGUUAGAUGAGCAUCUAGCUGGGGUCAUCUAGACCCAGCACUCUUUCCUGCUUAUGCAGGGGGUCGGACUCGAUGAUCUAUUGAGGUCCCUUCCGACCCUAACAUCUAUGAAUCUAUGAAUAAACACAUAAAUAUUAAAUUUCACAAUGGGCUGAGAAAUUAUGCUAAAUGGUCAGUAAGAAAAAAAUGUCAACCCUAAACAGCUUUGUAGUUCAUAUAGAGUCAUAUCAAUAACUCUUGUAACAUCAUAUUCUAACUUCAAAUAUUUCUGCCACUUUGAUAGGGGUUAAGUUGGUUGGUAAAUGUAAAUGUAUACAGACCGACUGUGCAGUGGGUAAAUGUAAAUUGUUUCUUUCUAAACAAGGGACUACAGAUCGUGAAGCCUAUUUCUGACAUUAUUUUUUAAACUCUAAUAACACAAGAGGGCAGCAUGGUAGAAAAAGAGGUCUGGAAAAUGUAAUGACUGAAAAAAAACAUGAUUUAAAUUCAACAUAUUUUUAAAUUAUGUUUUAUUAAAUGCAAAUACUCAGUCUUUUUUCUUUUUUAAUAAGGCUAUCAAGGUGCCAGUGGUGAAACACAAAGCUGGGUAACUGGCUUGAUUUAUGCUAAUCACGUGUGAUACCCUAAGGUACUGGUACUUUAGAAAAAAUACCUCUUCAUUGUACUGUAAUCCCUUUAUUCCACACCCAAGUAUUUGAUUACUUUUUCCUUUCUCUGAAAAUUCUAAAAUAUUUUUGAUGUUGUAGGACUAGGACCAUGGAUGGUGAUACUUCAUUGAUUAAUAAAAUAUUUUGCACAGAAAGUAUCUUUCUUCCGUAGACUGCAGAGAUCAAUACAAAGGUGCAUUAGCAUUAUUCUCCUUAUACAGCAAUGCAGGAGCUAAAGUCUAGAGGUUUAGUGAACUUGUGUAUAGCUGCACAGGGAGUCGGGUUCAGUCAGGACUAGAUCCGACUCCCAGGUUCUUGUAGUAGCGUAACAAAGUGGGGGUGACCAAGACACCAGCUCUAGGUGCCAACCCUUCAGGCUGGGAUAAUACAAAAAAUUCAGCUGCUGUCGCCAACAGCACAGCCAUUAUGCUGCCCUGUGCGUGGCUGCUGCCCAGGAUGCUCAAGCACUUGGGCUCCUGGUUCCUUGCUUAGUGCUGAAUGGAUUUUGCCUCCUCUGCAUGGGAAAGCAGCAUUACUAUGUCUUAUCAAUGGAAGUUGUCCAGCGCUCGGCACAUACAGCAUCUUUGUGAUCCUUGUGGAUGCAAAAAUUGGCCCAUUGAAUUUGAGGUGCUUAAACUUGGUCUUGGUCUGUUUUUCAAAAUCUUAGGCAAUUCUUUUUUCAAGUGCCCAAGGUAGGCUGCAGGGGUUUAGGUUGUACUCUGUAAACAAACCGCUGGCUAGAUUUCUCAUCCCAAUGACUCUACAUUCAGAUGGCAUAUUUGCAUGCAAAUAAGACAAAGUAACUGUGCUAGUGUUGAUUGGUCUUGUGGUUCCAGCUCUGUGCACCACACUCAGUUUGCAAUUGUUAAAUUCCAUAGAUGCGAAGGGCAGUGUUGAGCUUUUCACUUUGACAAAGGCUAGAACUGGUAGAACGAUGGGGGAGGCUAGAGAUGCAAUGUCAUUAUUUUAGAGGCCUUGAGCUAGUUGUUUAGCUUGUAUAAGUCAUUUGUGCAGCUCCAGUGAUUUAAUGGAGCUGGGCUGCUUUACACCAGCUAAGGUCUCUACAAUUUGACCAGCUAUGUAAUCGCUGCAUGUGGUUAACUUACACAGUACCAGGGCAGCAAGACAGCUCCAAAAUUCCAAACUUUUUUUUUCACUAGGCUUAGCAAAAUAAACCAAAAUUGACAGCCUGAGAGGAUAACAGAUGAGUGCAGAAAAGUUUCUAAAUGCUCCAGGACAUUUGCAUGCCAGGAAUCUCUCUCUGGAUUUUAUUUCCAUAACUCCAAUCUAUAAUAAGAUGUAGCUGCUUCUAAAAAUAAAUAAAGUAAAACAAAAGUCCAGUCACGAGUUUUUAUACUGAAUAUGAAGAUUCAUGUCAACUAGCAGCAUGAAGAUGGAAACUUAAAAGUCCCUCAUUGUCUAACAAUAGCACUGUUCCCUCAAACCAAUACAAUUUACUGUGUAAAGGUGAAACUAAUCUGGAUAAUAUGGAGCAAUUUUUGUCUUGAUGGUCAAAAUCCCUAAAAGAUUCAUUGGACAUCAUUUUUCCCCUUGAGCUCCACAGCAUCUGGGGUUUGUAAAAUGAGUUAUUGAGCCCUAGAUGCCUUCAAGUCUGUUUCCCCACUGGCAAAUCCAUAAAGAGCCAUACUGGGUGUCCUUGAUUCACUGACUACAUCAUGAUACCUUCAGAGGGAAUCCCAUUAGGAGCCUCUGGCCCCUUAACUUCAGUACAUUCAAUCAGGAUGAAAGUCAUGCUUGUGCAAAGCCAGAACAAGGCCUAUGCAUCCCUUAAGGGAUUCAGGCUAUGUCCAUGAUGCACAGGCAUCUCUGCACUACAUUAAUCUAGCUAGCACAUUUCCCAAGAGCAGUGCAGCCAGAGCAGCACAGGUUUCAGCUUGGGCUAGCAGCAGCAUUAAGUCCCCAGGGUCCUGGAAAGGAUUGUACAGUCCACACUGCAGCUGGUGCUGCCGCAGUUUCACUGUUUCUAGUACCCAAGAUUAAAGCAAGCAUAGGUACGUCUAUGUCUGCUCCAAUCACUCCUUCCAGUUGCAGUGCACACAUUUUCCAGGUAGUUCAUAAAUAUUGCCAGGCCUUUUGGGAGUUUAUCCUAAGGCAUCAACUCUUGGAAUGAAGUGAGGGUGUAUAUUUCAGUUGUCAUUAAAAGGAAAAAACAGGUAAGGUUCCAACCCUCAUAGUUGCAAAGAAAUACUAACCUAGGUGUUCCCUAAAGGCCAGAGAGCUAGAAAAAGAACGCAAACAUGUAAUAUUAGCUCUGUUUCUUUUUUUCUUUUCUUUUUUAAGGCCACCUUAUGCUUUUUGAGCCCUUGGGAUUGGUAGAACGUCUGACCCUUUUUCCAUAUGGUUGAGUUUCACCCUUUGGGAGUACUGUAACUAUUUAUGUGGUAUCUAGAAUGUGUUUCCUGAUUAGUGCUCAUUGUCAAUACUGGGAAAUGAAAUCAGUAUUGAUAACUGGGUAUCCUAGUGUUGUGAAGAGCAGUAGCUGAUGAGACAUUCUGGCCUGCGCUUCCUGGUGUUCAAGAAUCACAGUAAAGAUGUCUUCUAACUGCCUGCUGUGGUGCUGUUGCAGGACCUGCGACUUCCAUUUCUACAUCAACUUCAGGAACCUGAAUCCUCCAGGACAACAGAAGAUUUUCCCUUUUCAUUCUUCCUCUGUCCUGGUCCCAAAUCCCUCACUGAAUUUCUUUGUGGGUUGACUCUGGUGCAGUAAAGAGCAUGAUGAACAAGGAACUACCUUGGUACUGAAUAAUCAAAGUACCUUAAAUAUCUUCAAGCAAUAGACUAACUGGCCUUGAUUGCAGAAAGAUGGAACGCAAAACCAGAAUAGGUGGAAUGCAAACCUAUGGCCCAAAAUAUACCAAAUGGAUCAAGACCAUGCCAUGACAAGAAAUGUAAAACCUGACAACAUAUCUCCACCACUCCCACAAUAACUACACCCCACAACAGAACCAUCACCACUCCUGGAUCUUACACCUGCACCUCCAGGAAUAUAAUACAUCUUAUCCAGUGCACUAAAUGCCCUGAUGGACAAUAUGUAGGAGAAACCAAACAACUACGUACCAGAAUGAACACACACCAAAAAUCUAUCAAAGACAAGAAUACCCAAUUACCUGCGAGGGCACAUUUCUCACAAGAAAACCACUCUCUUUCUCCAAUCUCUCAGUUCUAAACCUCAAAGGGAACUUACAAAACACUUCUCAAAGACGAGCCUAUGAACUUCACUUCAUCAACCUACUGGAUACAAAAAAUCAUAGACUAAAUAUAGACAUUGGAUUUAUGGCACAUUAUAAACUGCCCAACAUCCGAUACCCCAGAUAAUCUCUCUACUUUUUACUGGCUACAUCUUAUCACCAGGUUUCCAUUCCCCUUCUCCCCCUGCCACGUGUUUCGCACCCACUGACUGCCUCAAUUUGCAUUUUCACUGACUGGCAUUCUUGCAUACUGGCUUCUAUUCCAUCCUAUCCAAGAAAAGCACAGAACAACUGCAGAUACUUCCUCAGCCUGAAGAAGGGUGUUUGUGCCUAAAAGCUUGCAAAGAAGAAUUUUUCCAACUAUUUUAGUUGGCCUAAAAGAUAUCCAGUUUAACCAAAGAAUGUUGUCAACCAGAAUAGAAAGGGUUUAUUCUGGUCAGUUAAAUGCAUUGCCAAUGAUGUCUAACUAGUUCUGGGGAGAGGUCUGUGAUUGAGAGUAGGUCAAUCACAGAAGAACAGAAAUGUAUUGGUGACUGCCAGGUUUGGAGGCAGAGGCUGUUUAAUAUUUUAAUAAGGGAAUAUUUAUAAGCUAGAGCACUGUUUCACUUGGAUUAUCAGUCUGAAGUAGGUUAAAGUUACUUCAUCUGGGUCAGAUCCUGAUCUUUGUGCUAACACACGCUGGGCUUCGAAGGAGCAUCAUCCAUUUAUUUGUAUCACAGUACACAGAGACCAGCUGGGGUAGCACAGCAUCAACCCUCAGUAGGAUUCCCACCUUUACUUUAUCAGUGACACAGACUUGCUCCCUUAGUUCCCUGCUUUUCUAAUAUAGCAUGAAAAUGUUUCUCCCAGGGUGCUCCUUCCAGGUGGAAGUACUUGGAAUACCUCGUUCAGAUAUGGCAAGCCUCCAUCUCCCUUAUUUGUAAUGCAUCCAAGCAACCCAACUGUGACUAGGCAGAGACGCUGCAAUUGUUACUACUCACCAAGUCAGAAUUCUUCACUUCCUGUUUAAUUAUCUCCAACUCUAUCCUGAUCUGUUUGUUUCACUCACCGCUUUCUUCCUUUCUAUUUACAUUGUAGGUUGUUUGGAAGCUGGGACUGUCAUUUAUCUUACCUUUUUUAGUCAAGAACAAUAGAACCCAACCUUGUUGUUGGGCUCUGCUGUAAAAUAAGUGUUAAGUAAUGGUGGGAUCCUGCCUCUCUUUCUGUUGCCUACUGGGGCUUCUGCAGUCACAAAUGGUGGGAUAUUGGAGGGAGUGGGGAGGGAACAAAAAGGAAGAACACUGAGAAAUAUCAAUUGAAUCCAAAACUUUGCAAUGCUUUAGACAGCUUGGUCUCCAUAGUAAAAAUUAUCUGGAUUUUCCUGAGCAGUAGGCAACUCCUACUCAUAUCAUUAAAGUUUUUUAUUAAAGUAUGAAGACAUUUUAUUUCUGAAGGAAGUGAUGAAUUCAUGGCAACGGCUAGAGACUGGCAGACAAUGUGGGAGAUAUUGUAUUACUAAUAAUUAUUUUUCAUCAUGAAUAUACAAUUAUUUGCACAAUUCUCACUUCCGACAGAUGAGCCCUGCAUAGGAACCGCCAAUUAAAAUGAACCAUGCUCUCUUUCUUGCUUUCAGACCACCAUACUUGUUCCUUUUGUGACAUGUAAUACAUUUACAUUGAGGUUUCUCAAAGUACAGGCUAAUGCAUGGAAGGCAAACUUAAGGUUUGCCAUCUACAAAACAGGGAUUAUACUAAGCUAUCUCACAGGGAUGUUCUGAGGCUUACUGACUGAACUCCCUUGAUAUUUCUGCACAAAGGUACCAUGAAGGUGCUUACUAAUUUGUUAUUAAAUGUAUUAUAUUACCAUUAUUUACUAAACAGAAAUUGAUUGUUUGGAAAAAAUCAUUGUUAAAAUAUUUUACUUAGUAAUUCCAUUGCACAAAAUAUAUAAAUAAACCCCACAUAUACUCCCCUGCCAUAAACCAUGGAAAAUUUCCUCCUCCUUUGCAAUAAAUAUCAUUGUGGACACAAGCAACUACUAUCAGUUUUGGAAAAAAGAAGUAUUAAUCCUUGAAUCCUGUUCUGUGUUACAAAUAAGGAAUUGUUAGCAUGUGCUUUGUCCAAGAUUUUAAAUUAGCAGCUGCUGGAAUGUUAGAUUCUGAUCUUGCAAUGGACAACGUGUGGACACACUGCUGGGUCAAUGCAGCGCCCCACUGACAUCAGUAGGUCUCAGCAUGGUGCAACAAUCUGCCUGAGCCUUGUCAGUUGCUGGACCCAGGUCUCAGUCACUUCCUAGAGUGUACACGGGCUAAACUGGAACUCGCGUGAACUGCUAUUUUCCAAUUAACUAGCAGUGAUGAGCAUUCAAAAGUGAAAAUUGUUCAUCUGUUUGCACCUGUAUUAUUUGUAACCUGGUUCUGUCUGCUGCUGCAAAAAAUAAAUAAUGAUGGUUGCUAAGCUGGCUACACUGCUGUUCUGAUCUCAUACUCGUUUAGAAUCAUUUUAUUUUCUCCCAAAUACAAGCAUAUUAUUAAUAAAUCCCAAGUUGGUGUCUUUUAAUUCUCCUAUUCCUAAUGGAUCCUGUAUGCAACAUGGCUUAGAGGUGGGCUGCUACAUCUCAUCAAAAUUCAGUUAAUUCUGAUUUUUUUCCCUGGAUAGUUGAGGAUAAUGACUUGUUCAGAAGCUUGGGGAGUGAGUCACAAAUCCAUUCCCACUGAAUAAUACCAGCAGAGCCUUUCCACAUGAUAACCACAAACAAAACAGCAUUAUUUUUAGCUGCAAACAGCUUUUUAAACACCACCUGCACCUUCCUGUAACCACUGAUGCAAUAACUAUGUUUACAAAACAAUGGGAUAAUAAGCAUGAAACGUACCAGUGAGAUAAAGAGCAUCAAAACAUGUGAAAUUAUCAAGUUUCUCUUUGUUAUCUUCCUAAUCAUAGGAGAUGUCUUUUCACAUCUAUCUACUGAACAGGGAAGGUAAAUCCCACACACCAAUGUCUCCACUUGUGUAUGGAACUGAGGCUCAGCUUCCUCUGUAGAGCCAACCAGCCCUGCUCCAUGGAUUCCAGAUGCAAACAGAAGGAAAGAGUGAAGACCAGAUGGGCUGAGUAGCAUUGCACAGGAGAGAUGAACAUUGUAAACUUUUCCACCUCCUCCAAUCUUAAGGAGCCAGUCACAGCUGAGGCCCGUCACAGCUAAUGAAAUCCCUAUCAGCAUGACUCACACAAGCCUGGGAGUCAGAGAUGGUACAGAAACCAAGGGCCUUCACAUUCACCAUCCUGCACAGUGCCAGUGGUGCCCCAAGUUUGGAAGCUCGUUCUGCAGCUUAUACCUCACUCCCUUGGUUCUCUUCAGUAAAACAAUAGAAGCUGAACACUGCAUGGAGAUCUUUUGGGAUAUUCCCUAUCCCAGGACACAGUCUACAGACCUUAGCCCCAUGCAAAUGUUUUACUAGAAAAAACUUCUGUGGUUUGUUGGGAUUAUUUUCCAUGCUAAGAGCUAGCUCAUCCUUAGUCAUUGCUGCUUAAAAAGGUAAAUUGCUAAAUCAAACUGUUAAUAAUGGUGCCUAAAGUUGCGAAAGUUCCAAAAAGCAUUUUCCCAUCCAGAACCUCGAUACUUUUUGUCAAAGAACUGGUGUUGCUUAUCCAAAGGAAUUAUUAUUUGAAAAAGUGGGAGAAAAACAUACUUUUUAAAAAGACAGGUGAAACACAGAUCCCUGACAAGGAGCCUUGCACAUACCAUGACUUUCUACUGCAGUUUACUGAAUUCUAGAGAGUUCAGAUUCUACCUCCUGCUUUGGACUACUGAGCAACAAACUCAGACCUGGGACUCUGGUAUGAGCCCAUCACUACUUAUUUAGAUAGUUCUUGGAAUUCUAAUACAGGUUUGUAAGCUCUUCUAACACACUGUGCUGUUACAUUUUACUCUACUACACCUGCCACUACAAAACACUUGAGAUUUUUGCUUGUGAGAUCCCUGGCAGAUCAGAGAUGCUGCCAAAACUCUACUUAGUGGUAUUUCCAUUUGUGGAAAUGGUUCACAGAGAUGUCUACAUUGGCAGAGUUUGUAACUUAAUGCAUGUGUCUAACUCUGCUGAAAACCUACUGAGAGGGGACAGAGAGGGACUUCACUGGUGGGGCUGCAGGAUGAAGUAAGAGAGCAUCUGGCAUACUGAAGAGUCAUUCAGGGGAUGUUGGGAAUGGAAUAAUGACCGUGGUGAAAGCUGAGGAAAAGAACAGAGAGAAUGGGAAUAGUUCUCAUCUGAAUGAAUACAGUCCUCCAUUGAAGUCUGGAGCAAAUCCUUUUCUUUAGUCUCCUCAACAGCUGAUUUUGUGUUAUAAUAAACAUGUUUCAGUAUUUGUCUAGGAUACAGGAAAAAGACUUUUUGGUAAAUAUGAGUUUUUAGUUAAGCAGAGUGUAUUCCCUCUCCUUGGAGACUAUAAUUGUCGCUCAAAUAUAUUUCUAAAUGUAAAUUAUUGAAAGUCUUCCAAUAAAAAUGCUUAAGACUCA